rnacentral:lncRNA from 1 species
CAAUUCAGUCUGGCCACAAUAUGAAUUAAAUAAUGGGUCCAAAUGGCCCGCAAAUGGAACAUUCAACUUUGCAAUUCUAACUUAUUUAAGCAAUUAAUGCUGACGACUGGAGAAAUGGCAAGAAAUUCCUUACGUCCAGGCCUUUUUACACUCAGAUCACAACCUGUCCUCUGCAAUUCUUGCUUAUCUGUUCAAAUCCUUCCCCUCCAUUCUAGCCGCCCUAAUCACCUUUCUCCUCCCAACCGUACCUCUUUUUUUCUCAUUAAAUCCAGCAGACUGCUGUCCACCCCUCCCAGCCCCUACCUCUUCCUCUCAACCAUCUUCUUUAACCCCCCAAGCCUCCUCAUUGUCUUCUCAGCUGCCAUCUUCCCAGUCAGCUGUAUCCACUUAUUUUUCUACACCGUCCCCUCCUCAGAACAAUUCUAAUAUUACCUAUACCUAUUCUCCUCCCCAACGCCCUCUCCUGAGGCUUGUAAACCUAUCCUGCCACCUUACGCCUCUGUCUAUCCUCCACUGCCUAUUAACUCAACCGCGCUUUCCCCUUCAAACCCUCAGAAGGAAUCAGUAUUUUAAACCUUCAGUUCAUCUCCUAAUCCACCCCCAAUGUUUGGCUCAAGCUCCAGAAGCUUGACGACGGCCGUCAAACCCCACAACAAGUCCUUCUUAAUUUAGCCUUCAAAGUCUUCAACAAUUGUAAUGAGGAAAGUAAAAGGCAAAAACAGGCAGAGUUUCAAAUGCUUGCCUCCACCAUCAGGGGCCCUGCAGGCCCACGGGGCCGCAGCUCCACACAGAAGCCUCCUAAAAAUCCACCUCCACCUGGCGCCUAUUUCAAGUGUGGCAAUGAAGGCCACUGGUCCAGACAAUGCCCAAACCCAGGUAAAGCCAGCAGUCCAUGCCCCUCUCUGCGGAGAACCCCACUGGAAGUCGGACUGUAAGCAGCUCCCACAAGGACUGCCCCCAUCCCUUCCUGAGCUAGCCAAAACCUCCUACUUAUAUCUCAUCGGCCUUGCCACUGAAGAAUGAUGGUGCCCUGGAACAGACACCCUGGCAACUACCUUUGCCUCAUCCAAGCCAAGGGUAACCCUGAUGGUGGCAGGUAGGCCAGUAUAUUUUUAAAUUAAUACCAGGCAACCUACUCUGCUUUACCUAAUUUUUCAGGAACCACCCAGUCCUCCCAGGUGUCUGUUGUAGGAAUUAAUGGACAAGUCUCCAAACCUCGAGUCCCCCCUCCACUUUUCUGCUCCCUUCACACCUUUUCCUUCACUCACUCUUUCUUAGUCCUGCCCUCAUGCCCAACUACUCUCCUAGGCAGAAAUAUCUUUCCAAAACUCCACACUACUUUCCACUUCCACAUUCCCCAUAGUACCCAACACAUCAACCCAGACCCCUCUGGGGCUUCUAACUUUCUUCUACUCCUCCAACCACCCACCUUAAAACGUGCAACUUUUUCUUGUCCCCCAUCUGUAGUUAACCCCGCUGUUUAGGAUACUUCCACACCCUCAGUCGCAGGACACCACACCCCUGUCCACAAUACCCUUAAAUAGCCCACCCAGUUCCUAUCACAGAAGUAGUAUGCCAUCCCCCAAGUAGCUCUCAUAAGCCUAAAGCCUAUCAUUUCUCGUCUCCUCUCCAGUCACCUACUCUGCCCAACAAACUCCCCUUUUAACACACCAGUUCUACCUGUGAAAAAGCUAGAUGGAGCUUAUCACUUAGUCUAGGACCUCAGGCUCAUUAACCAAGCUGUACUCCCAGUAUGUCCAGUAGUUCCUUACCCAUAUACUUUACUUUCCACAAUUCCCUCCGAUACCACUCAUUUUUCUGUUCUAAACCUAAAGGAUGCUUUUUUUUCAUAAUUCCUUUACACUCUGAUUCCCAAAACCUCUUUUCCUUUAUGUGGAAUACCCCCGACACCCACCUUUCAUGUGAGCUCACCUGGUGCAUACUACCUCAAGGUUUCAGAGACAGCCCCCACUUUUCUGUGUCCAAAAGGCCCUUGCUCAUGACCUCUGUAGCUUAUCCCUAAAGCUGUCCACUCUCUUUCAAUGUAUUAAUGAUCUGCUCCUGUGUAGCCCCUCUCAAAAAAACUGCAACUACCAUACUAUCUCUCUUUUAAACUUCUUCCCAAAAUGCGAGUAUUAGGUCUCCCCUAAAGAAACAAAAAUAUGCACCCCCCUCAGUCACCUAUCUAUGCCUAACUCUUACCCCAUGAACCUGAGAGCUCACAACCGACCACAUAUCCCUCCUCCAGUCCCUCCUGCCUCCGCAAACUAAGCAAAAAAAUCUCUCUUUUCUAGGACUAGUGGGAUAUUGUAGGCUCUGGGUUCCCUCCUUCGCUCUAUCUGCCAAACCAUUAUACCAGGCUGCUAAAGGCCCUCUCUAUGUGCCAUUAAACUCUGCACAGCCUAUUACCCAACCUUUCCAUCUACUCCAGAAGGCUCUCACCUCAGCCUCAUCCUCACUCUCCCAGACCUCACCAAACCUUUCUCCCUCUAUAUCGACAGAUGAUGUAAAGUUGCAUUAUGUAUUCUAACCCAGUCUAAGGGACCUACCGCCCAGGUUGUUGCCUACCUCUCUAAACAGCUUAAAGCCACCAUUCUCCGAUGGCCUGCCUGCCUUCAAGCAUUGGUGGCAGCUGCUGUCCUCACCCUUGAAAGCCUAAAACUAUCUCUCCAUGCCAACCUAACAGUUUAUUCAACCCAUAACAUCAAAAACAUGUUAGCUCACUGCAGUGUACUAAGUCUCAUCUCUGCCCCAUGGCUCCUCCAACUGUAUGCUCUAUUCAUAGAAAACCCCCUCCUACCAAUCACCAUACUAACCAGCUCCCGUCUAAACACAGCCAUGCUCUUACCUGAAGUUACAACCGCCCAAGACCCUACACACUUCUGUGUAAACACUGUUCAAACCUUCCUUAUACCUUUUCCAAACCUAACAGAACAACCCUUUCCAGAUGCCCCCUUUACUUAGUUUGUAGAUGGCAGCUCCUUCCUACAUCAAGGACGCUGGCAUGCUGGCUAUGCUAUAGUGUCACCCCACACACACACACUAUUGAAGCCAAUCUGCUCUUGCUAAGCACCACCUCUAAAAAAGCUGAACUCGUCGCUCUUCCUCAAGCUCUCACUCUAGCAGCCAGACAACAAAUCAACAUAUAUUCAAAUUCUCGUUAUACAUUCUACAUAGUGUACUCACACUCGUCCAUCUGGAAAAAACGAGGCUUCCUAAUUGCAAAAAACACUCCUGCCAUAAAUGGCUCUCUCAUCAGCAAACUCCUUCAAGCUGCCAGGCUUCUACAGAAAGUUGCCAUCAUUUAUUGCAGGGGCCACCAAACCCCGGAUGAUCCUAUAUCAGCUGGAAAUAGGCUAGCAGAUCAGAUAACCAAACAAGUAGCCCUCCAACCCAUGCAAGGCCAGUUUCUGUCCCUGUCCUUUUUCUCUCCUCUUUACUCCUCAGAAGAAAAGGAGGACUUCCAAGCCCAAAACCUUCAAAAGCAAGGACCAUGGUAUGUCAAGGAAAGGUGCUUUAUUCUUCCUCACUCUCAAAGCCUUCCUCACCUCCAAAGCCUCCACAACCCUUUCCAUAUCAGUUACAACCUCUCUUGCAACUUCUCUGCCCUAUUCUCACUUGCCCUCACCUUUCCAGCCAUGUUUGAGAAAUUACCUAGUCCUGCUCUGUCUGCCACUCAGUGUCACCCCAAGGCUCCUUCCAGCCACCUUUUCCUACCCACCAAGCCCAGGGCCAGGUACCCAGGCAAAAUUAACAAAUGGACUUCACUCACAUGCUGGCCAAUAAACGGCUCCACUAUCUUCUAGUCUUUAUCUGUACUUUCUCCAGGUAGAUAAAAGCAUUCCCAACAACUUCAGAAGGUAUAAAUGUCAUCACACAAACUCUCUUCAUGCAUAUAAUUCUCCGUUUUGGACUUCCAACAUUCAUCCAGUCCAACAACGGACCCUCCUUCAUCAGCCAAAUUAUCCAAGGCAUCUCUACAUCCUUAGGUAUAAAAUGGGUUCUCCACACACCCUAUAGGCCUCAAUUCUCAGGCAAAGUUGAAAAAAUUACGUCUGUCCUUAAAGCCCAACUCACCAAGCUGGCUCUAAAAACUCACCAGUCGUAAACAAAAAAUCUCCCUUUCACCCUUAUAAGACUCCACACAACACCAAAAGCACCCUCUUUUUAUAGUCCCUUUGAAAUCAUAUAUGGCCAAACUUUUGUCUUGGGGUCUCCACCCUUACCAGACUCUGAGCCACUCAGAUAUUACCUCUCCUCCUUAAUCCAGACAUGGUCUUUCAUUCGUGAAGCAGCAAAUAAGGCCAUGCCUCUCCCUGUUAACACCUUUUUGUCCUCUGAACGUAACUGUCUUACAGGCACAGACGUGUUUCCAGACAAUCCAGAUGAUGCUUCUGCUACAGCGACAUGGCCCAGUCCCAAGGCGCAAGGGCCACUUGUGUCAGCAGUGUGCACCAGCAGCGUGCGCCGGCAAGAUAGCAGAAGCAUGAAAAGGGCCGGCCAGAAGACACCUACUCUGGCUGGAAGACACGUACCCCUGAAGAUCAAGAAAGAAGCUAUCUGGGAACAAUGUAGCAGUUACGUCAGACCAGGACACUUCCUGUUUACAGGAGACUAUAAAACCUUUGUCCUAUCAUCACUUGAUGUGGACGCCAUUUUAGGCCUCAGCCCGCCUGCACCCAGGCACUGAUUAAAACAGCAUGUUGC